rnacentral:lncRNA from 1 species
ACACUGACUUCUUCUGAAGAUAGAAAACUGUGGUUUGUAGUAAAAGAGGCCGUCUUGACUCAGAGCUUCUCCCACCGUUCAGCAUCCUGACAGAGCAUGGAGCCAUGAAGGGGAGGAGGCCAGAGCACUGGCCACCCAUCUGUGUAAUACAGCCCGAGGCUGCGGCGCCAAGACGAUCCUUCAUUCUGAGGCAUGGUGGUACAUGACUGGAAGCCUGGCACUCAAGAGGCAGAGGUACAAAAGCCUAAAGCCAUCCUCUGCUACAUAGGGAGUUUGGGGCCAGCCUGGCGCACAUGAAAUGUUGGCAAAUAUGGAGAAGCAGCUAUGAACAUCUGGGCCAGCUGUUCUGCGCAGGUGAAAUGAGUCACUGUACUGGUUCGUUUUGUCAACUUUGACAAGACACAAGCUGGGGUCAUCUGGGAAGACAGAACCUCAGUUGAGAAAAUGCCUCCCACCCCCAUCAGAUUGGCCUGUAGACAAACCCCAUGGAUCAUCAUCUUAUUUAAUGACUGGUGUGGGAGGGCCCCGACCCAUUGUGGGUGGUGCCAUCCCUAGGCAGGCAGCCCUGUAGUGCUUUAAGAAAGAGGACUGAGCCAGCCACAAGGAGUGAGGCAGUAGACAGUGUUCCUUCAUCGCUUCUGUUUCAGUUCCUGUCAUCCCUGAAUGCCCUCAGGGAUGGGCUGUAAGCUGAAAUAAACCCCUUUUUCCCCAACAUACUUUUGGUCAUGGUGUUUACCACAGUCAAUAGAAAGCAUAGUAGGGAGCUGGGCGUGGUGGCGCACGCCUUUAAUCCCAGCACUCGGGAGGCAGAGGCAGGCAGAUUUCUGAGUUCGAGGCCAGCCUGGUCUACAAAGUGAGUUCCAGGACAGCCAGGGCUACACAGAGAAACUCUGUCUCAACCUCCCCACCCCCCCCCAAAAAAAAAUUCUAAGGACAUGGGUGUGACAUAGUGACUGAGCCUGCGUCAUCAGUGUUCCUCGGCAGCUUAAGCCUGCUAGACAGGUUGGUAAACAGCUUGGCAGUUAGAGGACCUCACUACUCUUGCAGAGGACCUGGGUUUGUUUCCCAGCACCCAGGUCAGGAAGCUCACAACCACCUCUUAACUCCAGCUCCUGCAGAUCUGGUGUCCCCUUGUGGUCUCCUCAGAUAGCCACAACUCCACUAGCAGUGUAUGAGAAUGCUAUAAUAACAGCAAUAACUAUUACUACUCUACUUCCUGGCCAAGAAAAUGAUUGUGGGGGAAAAAAGAUGAUAAGUAUUUGCUAAAGGCCAUCCCACGCCAGCUGUGUUUAUUUGUUGAACUCCAUCUCCAUGUCUGUGGACCAAACAGCCAGGUCCUUUAGAUCUGUAGUUUAUAUAGUGCAUCUUUCAACACCCUGAAACCUUGACCCAAGUUGUAGCUGAAGGAAAGAGGGUUUCUGGUAAAUACGGUUUCCAGUCAGGAGCCCCAAGCCAAGUCUCCCCGCCCCUCCUCUUCCUGGAGUGGACCACCUCUGUGGUUGGAACCGCUGGCAAUCCAUCAAAAAAGGAGGUUGGUUGACUUGGAGCUGAGACUGUAAGUGCUUAUAAGAAAUGAAAGACAUGGUUUGGGGUGAAAAAGUCAUGCUUCCGGGUACAAAGGCAAAGCCACUAAUAACCCAAGGAUUCGGCGUUCCAUCUGACCUGCUCUGAUACGGUCACUAUGGUGACAGUCUCCAUAAACAGCUUCAACAUAACCAAACGAAAGGAAACAAAACAAAACAAAACAGAAAAAGGAAGGACAACUUCCACCCCGGUGAUCUGGAGGUAUUUUAGGGAUCAAGGCAAUGUUGUAUGAGGUAAAUAUUGAACGAAGAAUCUGUUCUUUUAAUAACCGGUCCUCCCUCCCUCUUGGGAGUCUGAACAAAGGCUCGGCAGAUCACAGAACGAAGCCCCAGCCCAGUGUCUUCAGGGUUCAGAAAGUGCAGCCAAGAGAACGGAAACAAAUGGGUACGGACAGACGUUCAGAUUCUUCUCACACCCUCUGCCUGGGACACUCAAGCCGAGCCUUCUGUGGAGUCCAAGGGUGGAACAAGGCUCAUGUUCUCUGGAAAAGAGGCUGGGCCUUGGGCUCCAGGGAUCUGAACUUGGUUCCCCGUCCCUGACCUUGAUUCCUGAGCCAGCAGCAGUGAUGGAGGGAAGCAUCUUUAAGCCACACCAAGUCUCUGGGGGCAUCUGCAUCUGCUGCAAAUUCCUCUGCCGCUCCCAGCCUCGUGCUACUCUCUUUGAAUCCCUGACUCAGCGAACUGCAGUCCAAAGAGCAGAACUAACUAUGUUAUUCCUUCUUCUUCUUCUUCUUCUUCUUUUUAAUGCCAA